rnacentral:rRNA from 1 species
UAGGGAAUCUUCCACAAUGGGCGCAAGCCUGAUGGAGCAACGCCGCGUGAGUGAAGAAGGUUUUCGGAUCGUAAAGCUCUGUUGUAAGAGAAGAACGUGUGUGAGAGUGGAAAGUUCACACAGUGACGGUAACUUACCAGAAAGGGACGGCUAACUACGUGCCUG